rnacentral:rRNA from 1 species
AUGGAUGAUGAGGGGAGAAUUUUUUGGCAGAACCUCCCCUGGAAAUGGACGACCGGGGAAGAAAAUUUGGGCAGAGCCUCCCCAAGUCAAAACCUAAGAUUUGGGAAGAAGGAUUUGGCUGAGGUGGCGGGCUUUUGGCCACUGUGGACGGGGCUGGACAGCAGCCAAGAAACAGAUUGUGCUCUGCUGUUUGGCGUGCUCUCACGGCGGAGCGGAAGGAAACCUAGCAAGGGAGCUGGGGAAGAGGGGAAAAGGGAAUUGAAGCUUGGUGCAGAGGCGGCAUUUAUAGCCGGGAAACGGGCGGGUUUGGCGAGAGAAACAAUUGCGAGAGAAAUUGGUAAUGGUGGUGGUGGUGGUGGUGGACGGGAAAGGUGA